AUUGUGUGCGGAGGGUGCUGCAAGCGGUUUCAUUGGCUUUAACGAGGAUCAAUUGGAGGGCAAGUCUGGUGCCAGAAGCCGCGGUAAUUCCAGCUCCAAUAGCGUAUAUUGAAGUUUUUGCGGUUAAAAAGCUCGUAGUCGAAUCUGUGUCCCGCGCCUUCGGUUCAUCGUCCGCGUUGUUAACUGGUGUGCCGCGGGACGUCCUGCCGGUGGGCUUAGCUCGCAAGGGCAACCCAACUCAAUCCCGCCGCGGUGCUCUUUAUUAAGUGUCGAGGUGGACCAGCACGUUCACUUUGAACAAAUUAGAGUGCUUAAAGCAGGCUACAACUUCGCUUGAAUACUGUGUGCAUGGAAUAAUGGAAUAGGACCUCGGAUCUAUUUUGUUGGUUUUCGGAACCCCGAGGUAAUGAUUAAUAGGAACGGAUGGGGGCAUUCGUAUUGCGACGUUAGAGGUGAAAUUCUUGGAUCGUCGCAAGACGGACAGAAGCGAAAGCAUUUGCCAAAAACGCUUUCAUUGAUCAAGAACGAAAGUUAGAGGUUCGAAGGCGAUCAGAUACCGCCCUAGUUCUAACCAUAAACGAUGCCAGCUAGCGAUCCGCCGACGUUCCUCCGAUGACUCGGCGGGCAGCUUCCGGGAAACCAAAGCUUUUGGGUUCCGGGGGAAGUAUGGUUGCAAAGCUGAAACUUAAAGGAAUUGACGGAAGGGCACCACCAGGAGUGGAGCCUGCGGCUUAAUUUGACUCAACACGGGAAACCUCACCAGGCCCGGACACCGGAAGGAUUGACAGAUUGAGAGCUCUUUCUUGAUUCGGUGGGUGGUGGUGCAUGGCCGUUCUUAGUUGGUGGAGCGAUUUGUCUGGUUAAUUCCGAUAAGGAACGAGACUCUGGCUUACUAACUAGGCGUUUUCAGACAUCCUAAAGGCCCGCCGAUGGGGUUUCGGGCUUUAUCGUGCGCGGUUUUUACAUCGAUGACAUAAGUGCGGAGUUUAGCCGCUAGACGCCGCAUUUAUGUCAUCAAUGACAUCGUAAUGACAUUCAUUCACCUAUUUGAUUCAAUCUGAGCCAAGAGGAAUCUUACUUGAAUUGAAGGGGUUAUAUUUUUAGGAGUGAUUAAUUUCCAUCUUGAAAACAUAUGCAAAUCUUCCAAGGAAAGGAAGAAA
rnacentral:rRNA from 1 species